UAAUAAUAAUAAUAAUAAUAAUAAUAAUAAUAAUAAUAAUAAUGUGACAUUAUUAUGGACACAUUGUGGAACAAUAUGACAUAUUAUAUUUUUGUCCGUUUUCAGUGUACUAUAUUUGCUGGACUAUUAAUCAUUAAAAGAUUUUCUUUUAAAGUAAUUUUAAUCAUUUAAAUAUGUUUGAAUACAGUGAUUAGGCAGCCUGAAAUGUUUUAGAAGAAAAUCAAAUUGUCAAUUUUGACACAUCAGAAUCAUUUUUAGAGUUAGACUUUCCAUCAGAGUGUAAGAAUAGUCUUCAUCGAGUUUUACUCUUCUUUAAGUUAGAAUGUUCAACAGAGGGUUUGAGUCUUUUUUAGAGUGUUCGAAUCUUCUUUAAAGAAUUAGAAUGUUCAUCAGAGUGUUCGAAUCUUCUUUAAAGAAUUAGAGUGUUCAUCAGAGUUGUUGAAAUUUCUUUAAAGAAUUUGAAUCUUCAUCAGUGUUAGAAUCUUCUUUUGUUUGAAUUUUCUUUAAAGAAUUAAAAUGUUCUUCAAAGUGUUUGAAUCUUCCUUAAAGAAUUAGAAUGUUCAUCAGUGCUCAAAUCUUCUUUAAAGAAUUAGAAUGUUCAUCAGAGUGCUCAAAUUUCUUUAAAGAAUUAGAAUCUUCAUCAGAGUGUUCCAAUCUUCUUUUGUAUGAAUUUUCUUUAAAGAAUUAGUGUUCUUCAAAGUGUUUGAAUCUUCUUAAGAGUGUUUGAAUCUUCUUUAAAGAAUUAGAAUGUUCAUCAGAAUGUUUGAAUCUUCUUUAAAGAAUUAGAAUGUUCAUCAGAGUGUUCGAAUCUUCUUUAAAGUGUUUAAAUCUUCUUAAGAGUGUUCGAAUCUUCUUUAAAGAAUUAGAAUGUUCAUCAGAGUGUUCGAAUCUUCUUUAAAGAAUAAGAAUGUUCAUCAGAGUGUUCGAAUCUUCUUUAAAGAAUUAGAAUAUUCAUCAGUGUUCGAAUCUUCUUUAAAGAAUUAGAAUCUUCAUCAGAGUGUUCGAAUCUUCUUUAAAGAAUUAGAAUAUUCAUCAGUGUUCGAAUCUUCUUUAAAGAAUUAGAAUCUUCAUCAGAGUGUUCGAAUCUUCUUUAAAGUGUUUAAAUCUUCUUAAGAGUGUUCGAAUCUUCUUUAAAGAAUUAGAAUGUUCACCAGAGUGUUUGAAUCUUCUUUAAAGAAUUUGAAUGUUCAUCAGAGUGUUCGAAUCUUCUUUAAAGAAUUAGAUUCUUCAUCAGUGUUUGAAUCUUCUUUAAAGAAUUUGAAUCUUCAUCAGAGUGUUAGAAUCUUCUUUUGUUUGAAUUUUCUUUAAAGAAUUAGAGGUUCUUCAAAGUGUUUGAAUCUCCUUCAGAGUGUUCGAAUCUUCUUUAAAGAAUUAGAAUCUUCUUCAAAGAAUUAGAAUGUUCUUCAAAGUGUUUGAAUCUUCUUCAGAAUGUUUGAAUUUUCUUUAAAGAAUUUGAAUCUUCAGAGUUUUGGAAUCUUCUUUAAAGAAUUCAUCAUUUUCUUCAGAGAUUACGAUUCGUCUUCAGAGUUUACAGAUCUUCUUCAGAGCAUUAGAGACUUAUUCAGAGCAUUAGAAUCUUCUUCAGAGUUUACAAGUCUUCCUCAAAGCUUUAAGAUUUUCUUCAGAGCAUUCAAAGUCUUCUUUAGAUUGUUCGAAUCUCUUUCAGAGUUGAGAAUCAUAUUCUUAAAAGAGUUAGAAUCUUCUUCAGAGCAUUAGAUUCUUCUUAAGAGUUUAUGAAUCUUCUUCAGAGCAUUAGAAUAUUCUUCAGAGCAUUAGAAUCUUCUUAAGAGUUUAUUAAUCUUCUUCAAAGCAUUAGAGUCUUCUUCAGAGUGUUCAAAUCUUUCUGAGAGUUAGAACCAUCUUCUUAAAAUAGUUAGAACCUUCUUCAGAGCAUUAGAGUCUUCUUCAGAGGGUUGGAAUCUUCUUCAGAGUUUACAAGUCUUCCUCAAAGCUUUAAAAUCUUCAGAGCAUUAGUCUUCUUCAGAGUGUUCGAAUCUCUCUCAGAGUUAGAGUCAUAUCCUUAAAAUUGUUAGAAUCUUCUUCAAGGAAGUCGCCUCUUCUUCACAGCUCUGGAACAUUCUCUGUAGUUGAGAUAAUACCGCGCUGUCUCACGCCACCUGCUUUUAACAGACAGCAGGCAGAAAGCGCAGGGAAUAUCGAGCUUCCUUUUUUUAGGCGCUUUUUUCUUUUCUUUUUUUUAUUCACGCUUUCAGUCUGUAUUUAUCCUUCUCUCAUCUAUAGGCUUCGUCAGCGGAUCUUUACGGAUAUUUAUAGUAAACCAACGAAUUUCUGGUGGCUGAAAAAUGGCGCUUUCCCCCUACAUACUUUUAUUGAAAAACAUAUGUUUAGAAAAAGAAUUAUGGUUAUUAUUUUUUUUACAAAUUAUUAUUGUAUUAUGCCGCUGCGGACAUAUACAUGUUACAUUAAAAACUGCUUUGCUUUAAUUUGCUUUACAGUCUAGUAAUAAGGUAAAAUACAAAAAGAUUGUAUGAAGGUUUACGUCAUUUUAUAACAACAACAACAACAACAAUAAUAAUAAUAAUAAUAAUAACUACACUAAAAUCUGAAAACAGGAAGAGGAAGCCAUCUUGACCUGAUGUUUGCAGCUGCACUGUGAGUGUAAACAUUAAUCAACUAUUAAUCAAUCUCCUUGAGCAGGACUAACACCGAGCCUUUAAUAGCAUUAUGAUUCUCGCCCUGAUAGAGAUACUGUGAUGAACUGAGAAAGCUGCAAAUAAAGUGUGUGUGUGUGUGUGUGUGUGUGUGUGUGUGUGUGUGUGUGUGUGUGUUGCUGAUGGGAUUUACGAGUUCAAACACAAAGCAGUGCUAAGUAGAACCACCGGCAUGGAGUAAUUAUUUAAUGAAAAAAAUAAAUAAAUUGAAAAUAAAUAAAGUACUUAUUUUUUUCUGUUUGUAUAGAUCUGCUAAUACAGUUUAAUUCGUCAAAAAAAUACUACUACUACUAUUACUACUACUACUACUAAUAAUAAUAAUAAUAAUAAUAGCCAUUGUAAAACGUCUUAUAAAGUCUUAUGAUGACGUCAAAUUUUCUAUUAAUUUAUUUUUAUUUUUUGCUCAAAAGCUCAAAAUACUGACGUGCUCUGAAGUUAAAAAAUCAUUAAUGUCAUCAAUUAAAAGAUUAACCGACUAUGAGAUAAUGAGCUUCUCGGAUAGAAAGCAGUCACAAAGUAAAACACGGAUUAUUAGCAAAAUUUAAUAAUAAAUAAUAAUGCUUUAUAAUAUGAACCAAACUGAAGCUAAAACUUGACAAAAUACAAAUUAAAAACAUAAGUUUUUUCGGAUUUAUUAGUCAGUUUUUUCUUAGUAUAAUGCUGUGUGUUUAUUCGAUACAGAGUCAUACAAAAUGAUUCUUUAACGAAUUCAUCAAUAACAAUAUUACAAAUGAUGGUUAAAUACAUGAGCAUGAACUAAAACUCAAACUGGAUAAGUGUUAUUAGAUUAUAUUAGAUUAGUCUAUUCGAUUUAAAGACUUUUUCAUUUAGUGAGUCUAGCUUUAACAUCUGAACUACAAAAACGUGUAAUUAAAAAGAUUAAUUUUACAUUACACAGACCGAAAAAUGACUCUUCUUAAUUACCUAGAUUAGCAAAGUUAGAAAAGCAAAAAAAAUUUUUAAUUAAAUUAAAGAAGUUUACGAGUAAACAGGUAGACAUACAAAAUACAAUAUGACAAACAAUACAAUUACACUGUAUAUUAUAGGCAAUGUUAUAUCUUAAUUC
ensembl:lncRNA